GACACGUUACAAUAUGUAGUCCGAGGGUGCAGUCAACUAGCAAUGCCCGCCAAGGAAGCAGGACAGCGCAGCUUGGUAGAAACCCAAACGCUGGUAAGGGCUGCUAGAAAUGGGGAAUGAGUCUUUACAACAGCUGUUCCGAUCAGUACUAGGUCAGCCUUUCACAAGUAUGCGUUCUGAUGACGCAAUGCAGCAGUACGCGGGCCCUGGGCGCUAAAACCUUGCCCUCGACAGCCAACGGCUCUCGACGAGGGCAACUCUGCUUCCACCAGCUCAGUCGCCACGAAAAUGGUGGAGUCCUUGUGUCACGGCAGUCAGUUGGUCAACCAAGCAAACGGAUCGCCCCCUGUCUG
rnacentral:lncRNA from 1 species